CGAAGCCGAGUCUCACGUAAUUUGGAUACAAAGAACAAGUUUCAGAAUGUAUUUCACAUGAUUCAUUCGAAUUUCUUAUUAUCCACUGACGAAGGUUCUGUUUGUCGACUUUGUAUUUGUUGCCACGUACUGUUCAGAGAUGAUACUCUACCUUCCUUCGCAAUAUUCAAUUUUUCAGAUCUCUUUUCUCUUUGUAGACAGUUCUUGGCAAAUGGCAAACUAAACAGUGAGUGUGAACAAUGUCGGAUACCAGUCUUCGGCUCCAAGGCAUGGCUUACUGUUCAAACAUGGGUUACUAUCAUUUCAAACUCAUCGGAUCCUUCAGUUAUAUUCGAGUACAGUUUAUUAUUCGCGGAAAUAUGGUAUGUAUGUAUAGGUUAUUGUGUAAUUAGCAUGCUAUAUGGCUUUUUAAUUAAGGAAUAGAUACGGAUUGGGUCUUGCUUUUUAACGAUUUUCAAAAUGCGUCUUGCGCUUGCAAAUCUACAAACAGUUUUUAUGCAUUGCAAUCCUUUGCAUUCAGAUGAAAAGAAGAAUGUGGGAAUAAUAGCUGGAGCCGGUACGCUGUUCUGUUUCGGUGUCAUCCUGUUAGUACUUGCUGUGUACUUUUUCUAUCGACGGAAACGAUUGAAUGCUGUAGAAGGUGAGAAUGAAUGUGGUAUAGUGGAAAUAGAACUAGAUGAACAAGAAGAAUCGCGUUGUGACGACUACGAGGUAGUGUCUGUCCCUUCUUCUCUCCCCGACGUACUGACAACGAAUCCAGGGUAUGGAAUAACACCCGUGGUCGACAAUCCGGCGUACAAUG